UAACCAACGAAAUAGCAAUUGUAGACACACCAAAUAAAGCCAUAUUGAAAUAUUAACCUGUAACUGUAAAGCCAAUAAUUUCACGAGCUCCAAAAAAAUUCUAUGUUGGUAUAUAUAUAUAUAAUUAAAUCUUCUCGUACUCGUUCCCUCAGGUUAGCCCCAACAAUCAAUAAUUAACAGUACUAUCUUUCACUUUUCUUCUUUUCUGAGGCUUCUCCUAAAGGAUACUUUUGCAUCGGCUCGCUCUCUCAGGUAAAAUUACCGAGGCGAAAUCAGCUCUCUCAUGCAUGGCUGCUGUUGUACAUCAUGAGGAUCCUUUUGGUUUUGAAGAUUACUUUCCCUCAAUGAUUGAAACAUUGGGUGCAGAAAGGUUUAUGAUGGAACUAUGCAAUGGUUUCUGCUUGCUGAUGGACGUAAGCAUAGGGCUUAUAACAUUUGAAAGCUUGAAGAGAAACACUAUAUUAAUGGGAUUGCAUGAAUUGAGAGAUGAUGAGCUAGUUUGCAUGUUGGCUGAAGGAGAUUUGGAUGGAGAUGGAGCUCUUAAUCAGGUUGAGUUUUGUGAACUCAUGUUCAGAUUGAGUCCCGGAUUGACGUGAAAUCAACCAUUAAUGAUUGCGUUGGGAUAGAUUAUUUAUGGAUGGAUGACUCUGGGACUUACUGGUUUUCGUUUCUAAUCCCUUUAUUUUCUAUGUCUAUUGUUUUGAUGGACUUUUAAUUUUCUUCGGGGGCCGAGCUAGAGUGUAACGUACGGGUAGUAGCUUUGCUAGAUUCUGUAUUUAUAUUAGCAAAUCCAUUAAAUAUGUAUUUAGUUGCAAAUCCAAUAACCAAGACGAGCUAUGAAUUUGAUGAUAAAUUCUGAACUCAUAAACUUCAAAUUCUAA